AGAGUUUGCUCCUGGCUCAGGACGAACGCUGGCGGCGUGCCUAACACAUGCAAGUCGAACGGGGUAAGCUCUUCGGAACUUACUUAGUGGCGAACGGGUGAGUAACGCGUGAUAAACCUGCCUUUCAGUGGGGGACAACAGUUGGAAACGACUGCUAAUACCGCAUAAUGUCAUUUGGGGGCAUCCCUGAAUGACCAAAGCUUUAUGUGCUGAAAGAUGGUCUCGCGUCUGAUUAGCUAGUUGGUGAGGUAACGGCUCACCAAGGCGACGAUCAGUAUCCGGUCUGAGAGGAUGAACGGCCACAUUGGGACUGAGAUACGGCCCAGACUCCUACGGGAGGCAGCAGUGGGGAAUAUUGGGCAAUGGGGGAAACCCUGACCCAGCAACGCCGCGUGAAGGAAGAAGGCCUUCGGGUUGUAAACUUCUUUUACCAUGGACGACGGACGUGACGGUACCUGCAGAAAAAGCAACGGCUAACUACGUGCCAGCAUCCGCGGUAAUACGUACGUUGGAAGCGUUGUCCGGAGUACUGGGUGUACAGGGCGUGUACGCCGCACUGCCACUCAUAUGUCAGAUCCCGGGGCUCAACCCCGGAACUGCAUUUGAAACUGUAGCCCCUGAGUAUCGGAGAGGCAAGCGGAACUCCUAGUGUAGCGGUGAAAUGCGUAGAUAUUAGGAGGAACACCAGUGGCGAAGUCGGCUUGCUGGACGACAACUGACGCUGAGGCGCGAAAGCGUGGGGAGCAAACAGGAUUAGAUACCCUGGUAGUCCACGCUGUAAACGAUGAAUACUAGGUGUGGGGGGACUGACCCCUUCCGUGCCGCAGUUAACACAAUAAGUAUUCCACCUGGGGAGUACGACCGCAAGGUUGAAACUCAAAGGAAUUGACGGGGGCCCGCACAAGCAGUGGAUUAUGUGGUUUAAUUCGACGCAACGCGAAGAACCUUACCAGGAUUUGACAUCCAACUAACGAAGUAGAGAUACAUUAGGUGCCCUUCGGGGAAAGUUGAGACAGGUGGUGCAUGGUUGUCGUCAGCUCGUGUCGUGAGAUGUUGGGUUAAGUCCCGCAACGAGCGCAACCCCUAUUGUUAGUUGCUACGAAAGAGCACUCUAGCGAGACUGCCGUUGACAAAACGGAGGAAGGCGGGGACGACGUCAACUCAUCAUGCCCCUUAUGUCCUGGGCUACACACGUAAUACAAUGGUGGUUAACAGAGGGAAGCAAAGCCGCGAGGUGGAGCAAAUCCCUAAAAGCCAUCUCAGUUCGGAUUGCAGGCUGCAACUCGCCUGCAUGAAGCUGGAAUUGCUAGUAAUCGCGGAUCAGCAUGCCGCGGUGAUAAGUUCCCGGGCCUGUACACACCGCCCGUC
rnacentral:rRNA from 1 species